GGAAUCUUCGGCAAUGGACGAAAGUCUGACCGAGCAACGCCGCGUGAGUGAAGAAGGUUUUCGGAUCGUAAAACUCUGUUGGUAGAGAAGAACGUUGGUGAGAGUGGAAAGCUCAUCAAGUGACGGUAACUACCCAGGAAGGGACGGCUAACUACGUGCCAG
rnacentral:rRNA from 1 species